rnacentral:rRNA from 1 species
AUACGUAGGUGGCAAGCGUUGUCCGGAUUUACUGGGUGUAAAGGGCGUGUAGGCGGCGCGGUAAGUCUGGAGUGAAAGUCCUGCUUUCAAGGUGGGAAUUGCAUUGGAAACUGCGAAGCUGGAGUGUCGGAGGGGUAAGCGGAAUUCCUGGUGUAGCGGUGAAAUGCGUAGAGAUUGGGAGGAACACCAGUGGCGAAGGCGGGUAACUGGACUGCACCGGACGCUGAGGCGCGAAAGUGUGGGGAGAAAACAGGAUUAGAUACCCUGGUAGCCCACACUGUAACCUAUGAAUGGUAGGUGUAAGAGGUAUCGACCCCUCUUGUGCCGUAGUCAACACCAUAACCAUUACGCCUGGGAAGUACGGUCGCACGGCUGAAACUCAAACGAAUUGACGGGG